rnacentral:rRNA from 1 species
UACGUAGGGUGCAAGCGUUGUCCGGAAUUAUUGGGCGUAAAGAGCUCGUAGGCGGUUUGUUGCGUCGGCUGUGAAAUCCCGAGGCUCAACCUCGGGUCUGCAGUCGAUACGAGCAAACUAGAGUGUUGCAGGGGAGACUGGAAUUCCUGGUGUAGCGGUGAAAUGCGCAGAUAUCAGGAGGAACACCGGUGGGCGAAGGCGGGGUCUCUGGGCAACAACUGACGCUGGAGGAGCGAAAGCGUGGGGAGCGAACAGG